GGGGGGGGGGGGGGGGGGGGGGGGCGGGUGCGGGGCGGGCGGGAGGGCUGCUGCUUGCGGGGGUGCUUGAGUGGCGGACGGGUGAGUAACACGUGGGGGAUCUGCCCUGCACUUCGGGGUCCGCCUGGGAACCUGGGUCUCAUGCCGGAUCGGACGAUGGUUUGGAUGCCCUUGUGGAAAGCUUUUUCGGUGUGGGAUGAGCUCGCGGCCUAUCAGCUUGUUGGUGGGGUAAUGGCCUACCAAGGCGUCGACGGGUAGCCGGCCUGAGAGGGUGUACGGCCACAUUGGGACUGAGAUACGGCCCAGACUCCUACGGGAGGCAGCAGUGGGGAAUAUUGCACAAUGGGCGCAAGCCGGAUGCAGCGACGCCGCGUGGGGGAUGACGGCCUUCGGGUUGUAAACUCCUUUCGCUAGGGACGAAGCGCAAGUGACGGUACCUGGAGAAGAAGCACCGGCUAACUACGUG
rnacentral:rRNA from 1 species